rnacentral:rRNA from 1 species
CAGCACCUCAAGUGGUCAGGAUGAUUAUUGGGCCUAAAGCAUCCGUAGCCGGCGCUGUAAGUUUUCGGUUAAAUCUGUACGCUCAACGUACAGGCUGCCGGGAAUACUGCAGCGCUAGGGAGUGGGAGAGGUAGACGGUACUCGGUAGGAAAAAGUAAAAUCCUUUGAUCUAUUGAUGACCACCUGUGGCGAAGGCGGUCUACCAGAACACGUCCGACGGUGAGGGAUGAAAGCUGGGGGAGCAAACCGGAUUAGAUACCCGAGUAGUCC